rnacentral:rRNA from 1 species
UACGGAGGGUGCAAGCGUUAAUCGGAAUUACUGGGCGUAAAGCGCGCGUAGGCGGCUCGGUCAGUCGGGUGUGAAAUCCCCAGGCUCAACCUGGGAACUGCGUCUGAUACUGGUUGGCUUGAAUCCGGGAGAGGGAUGCAGAAUUCCAGGUGUAGCGGUGAAAUGCGUAGAUAUCUGGAGGAAUACCGGUGGCGAAGGCGGCAUCCUGGACCGGCAUUGACGCUGAGGAGCGAAAGCUAGGGGAGCAAACGGG